rnacentral:rRNA from 1 species
GAUGAACGCUGGCGGCGCGCCUAACACAUGCAAGUCGAACGGCACCCCUCCUCGGAGGGAAGCGAGUGGCGAACGGCUGAGUAACACGUGGAGAGCCUGCCCCCUCCCCCGGGAUAGCCGCCCGAAAGGACGGGUAAUACCGGAUACCCCGGGGUGCCGCAUGGCACCCCGGCUAAAGCCCCGACGGGAGGGGAUGGCUCCGCGGCCCAUCAGGUAGACGGCGGGGUGACGGCCCACCGUGCCGACAACGGGUAGCCGGGUUGAGAGACCGACCGGCCAGAUUGGGACUGAGACACGGCCCAGACUCCUACGGGAGGCAGCAGUGGGGAAUCUUGCGCAAUGGGGGGAACCCUGACGCAGCGACGCCGCGUGCGGGACGGAGGCCUUCGGGUCGUAAACCGCUUUCAGCAGGGAAGAGUCAAGACUGUACCUGCAGAAGAAGCCCCGGCUAACUACGUG